GACGUGACGACCGAAAUGGUGGACAAGGUGUAUUUUAGCAAUAAAAAAUCCCACCAUAAUUUGUUUAUGAUUAUAGGUCUAAAGUAUAUUCGUACGUAUCAACAAAACUACUAAGGAAUGGUACUUGCUUCAGCAUUCUAGCGGCCAUUUCAUUAAAUAUUUGGACGUACCACCUGUGUGGACCAAAAACGCCAAAAGAACCACGUGAACUCGGAAUGGCAGAUAUGGUCGAUAUGAUGUAUUCUUGCAGAAAUCACCUCCAUAAUUUGCUGUAUUAUAGCGUAUUUCCGUGAUGUAUAUAUCCAUAAUCAAAUAUUUGAACUUGAAUGUAUAUUUCGAACGCCAAACAAUAUGAAUUACUUGCUUUGUGGUGAGUGCAAGGUUAUCUACAGCCGAAGCAAAUGAUUACCGAUUACUUAAACUGCUCUAUUGAAGCAUUUCCAGUUGACAUGAUAGAUUUCGACAUCUACAUCUUGCAAGACCUGAAGCUGGAGAAAGUGGGCCUUAAUUUGCGGCAAUUUAAAAGAUGUUUUGACUAGAUGGAUUAGAAUUAGAUGCAGACAAGUUAUGACAUUUUGCUACGAGAACAGAUUACAGAUGGAUGUGGGCGUGAGUAGGCACUUUUACUUUGGGAAAGUCAGCCGAGAUCCUUUUUUAACUGCUAUGGCUGAAAUUCCGAAGCAGUACGUUGAAGCCUGUGGAAAAAUGUUCAGUCAGCUUUAGGGAUCCAGUUUUAAAACCUUUACCAAAUGCAACCACAAAACCAAACUGAGAGCUCCAUUCUCAUUUCAAAUGGUAAGCAAACCCACUCCUGUAACAGAAAAAUAUGCCGGCUUAUCUUAUUCCAAGACACGUCAACCGAAAUCUACUUUCCAUGAAGAAGGUAGUAAUAAAGAUCCAGAAGUGGAUAAAUAUAAACCAGACAUAAGUGCUUGCAUGGUUGAAAGGAAUGUAGCAUCAUUAGAUGACUGCUGCUGCAUAGAUGGAGGGUAGUCAGAUGAAGCAACAGAACAUGACCCAUGCGGCAAGUCGUGAAAAGUGUACUGAAGUUUUGUUAGAACAUUUACUGAAUAGUGCGAUAAUCCUGGUAAAGGAAGGUGGAGGAGCAUCCAGUCAAUGUUAAAGUGUCAAAGUAUAUGGAAUCAUGCCUGUUUGACAAGGGUGCAUAUUGAUGAAGCAAUACAAUACUGUUUGUGAGAAUUAUAUUUGAUGGUGUUUGGAAAAAAAUAAAACAGUUGGAAAGCAUCACAGUAGGCCUACUUGCUGCUACUUGAAAAUUGGACUCUUGCAAGAUUUCUUUGCUUAAAUCUGAUUCAACACAAAGCCACUAUAGCGCAAGCUCAGUUGUUCAAUUCCUACCCAAAUGACUUUAUUUGCAAGUAUUAUGGAACAUGCUGUGCAUUCAGUGUGAUGAACUAAAACAUUCCUAACAUAAAAAACAGCAUUGAAUGGCAUUACAGUACUCACUGGUACAUGGAAAUGGGAUUUACACACCAGAUAACUAGCCUGGUGCUUAACCACUACAACACUGAGCUUGCGGUUUCUUAAAUCAGUAUUUGUGAAAGUCACUGAGAAUACAAAAACAAUAUCUGUAUUUUUUUUAUUUUUUUUUUGCAGACGCCAGACAACUCUCUGCAAGAUAAGUAA
rnacentral:lncRNA from 1 species